rnacentral:lncRNA from 10 species
UAUAGGCUUGCACCACCAUGCCGGGCUAAUUUUUGUAUUUUUGGUAGAGAUGGGGUUUUGCCAUGUUGGCCAGGCUAGUCUUGAACUCUUGACCUCAGGUGAUCCACCUGCCUCAGCCUCCCAAAGUACUGGGAUUACAGGCGUGAGCCACCAUUCCUGGACAGUAAUGUUAAUAAGCAGCAAAGCUCAGAACAACUUAAAAAAAAUUUUUUUUUGAGACAGGGUCUCACUCUGUCACCUAGGCUGGAGUGCAGUGGUGCAAUCAUAGCUCACUACAUCCUUAAUCUCUGGGGCUCAUGCAAUCCUCACACCUUAGCCUAACCCAAAUAGCUAGGAUUACAGGCAUGUGCCACCACGCCUGGCUAAUUUUUCUAUUUUUUGUAGAGAUGAGGUCUCCCUACGUUGCCCAGGCUGGUCUUGAACUCCUGGGCUCUAGUGUUCUUCCCACCUCAGCCUCCCAAAGUGUUAGGAUUACAGGCAUAAGCCACCACACCUGGCCAAAAACUUGUACAGAGUGUUUUGAAGACAAUAUUUGAGUGUCUUCCAAACAGUAGAGGAGACAUCCCUUGGCCCAUAGGUAGAUAGUCAUUGAUUAAUAAAUGUGUCAAUGAAGAAUAUAGAAGAAACUUAUAAUACAGAUCCUUCCACAAAGGUGCUAGUGGCCUAACUAGGAUCAUAUCCAGUAUACUCAAAUUAAUUAAGGCUAAUUAAAUAGUAUAUAUAGAUCCCACAAUUUCUUACUUGAAACUUUUGGGGCCAAUGCAUUUUGGCCAACAUUUUCAGAUUUUAAAAAGCACUAUUGUAUGUUAAUGUGUGUAUGUUUAUAUCAUAUAUGACUAACACACUCUUAGAAGGACCUACUCAUAACAAAACACAGUGAUAUUUCCACAGUGAAAUAUGUAAUGGUCACAUAGCAUAAAUAAACAAGAUAAAUAGCCUCACAUUGUCAAUCUAGUCAGGUGUCAUAUCUAAAUGAGUUUUGGGGCCACUUUGAAAAAAACUUUCCAUUUUCAGAGCUUCAGAGAUUUGGGUACUGUAGAUAAGGGACUGGGAUCUGUCAUAUGGGCUCAACACAGAUCCUGGAAGUGUAGAGAGGAAGCUACAUUGGAAUUAGAAGACUCGGUGAAAGUCUUGUGAAUGAGGCAGAAUUUGAGCUACAGUGAGUUAAUUUUCUGCCCCUGGGAGGUGAGGUCCCCACAAUGCCUUGUCACCCUGUUAUCAGCCAUGGAAGCUAUAUUUUCCUGCUUGAGCCACUAGGCGCCUGUGGAGUAUUUUGUAAAUUGCUUUCCUGCGAUAGUCUACGUGGUCAGAUUAAACAAAAAAAACAAAAACAAAACAAAACAAAACAAAAGAAAAACAUGACCCACUGAGAUUUGCCCAAAGUGAAGACCCGGAGGAGAUGAGUAUGCCCAUCAAACAGUGCCGGAACGCUUAGGGAGAGAAGCUGGACGGAAGCUGAAGAGGAUGGAGCCACAUCUGAAUACUAGAGAAUAUAGGCUUUAAUCCCUGGCUAAUUCCAUUCUCUUAAUAAUUCACUCCAUACAAUGGAGAUCUUUCACAUUUCAUUCCUAAAUCCUUGGUUUACCUACCAGACAGAUUGCUAACGUGGCCGAUUUUCUCUGACACCUAUUCUUCUUUCCCCUCUUCCCAUCCUAUUUCUCAUUUUUUCCCCCUUACCUUAGAUAAUCUUUUGUCUCUUUCCCCGGAGAGGGAUUCGCCCUCAGGAAGCAUAGGAAUCUGCCUUGGCUGGGUCAUCACCUUUCACCACUUCAUUACCACCUCUAAAACAUCAGGCCAGCCCACAGAUGGAGACAUACCUCCUGUCCACUAUUAUUAGAAUUCCCUGGGAGACAACACUGUUCCUAAGAGGUUAUUGCUGGAAGUGAGUCAGAGGUAUAAGGGAUAUAUUGAAUCAGGGACGUCUAGGAGGAUACUAAAGUGGUUGCCUGUCUGUGAAAACAGGAAGGAUAAAGAGAAUAAAGACAGAAAGAACAGGAAAAUGCAAGCCAGGUCAGAGUAAAGCAAACCGUUCUUCCCUUCAGUCUCCCAUUUAUGUAUGUCCCUGACUUGGGUCUAUAAUAGUCUAGGAAUGUGAAGCAGAGAAAAACUCUAGGGGAAGGAAAUCUCAAAAUUCAGUCACACGGUGAAUCCUUACAGCUAUGUUCUCAGAUUCCUCUUCUCCCUAUGCAUGACUAACUACACUAUUUCUCAUUUGAAUUUAGAGGAAAUAGGCUGAGGGCAGCCACUUGCAUCUUCUGUGUAUCCAGCCACACAGCUUCUCUUCUCCUUGAUUAAGUUUGAUACCUUCUCUGCUGAAAUUAUUCUUUCACUAACUUUCUUGUUCUUUAGAGCAAUAAAGCGGAAACGAUGCUAAAUGAGAAAAAGACUGUCUCCCAUCCCAUUCAUCCCACAUCUACUGGGCACCUCAUAUGAGCACUAUUCUGCUUCUGGACAUAAUUCAAAAAAGAUUUCUCACUCUCUCUUUCUCUUUCUCUCUUUUCCUCUCUCUUUUUCUCAUUCUCUUGACCCACCCCCCUCUAACUCCCUGUGCCAGACUCUGACUAUAGGACGAACAUCUGCUUGCAUGACUGACUAUAGGACCAACAUAGCAUAAGUGAUCAGUAUCGGCUGACUGAAUCUCUAAAAGGAUCCAGAUAAAGAGAAGAGCGGGCCCAAAAAGAAAAAGAAGAGGAAAAGGAGAACAGAGAAAGUAAGGAGAAAAAGAAGCAAAGGACAAAAGCAAAGAAAUAGCACAUACUAAGGACCGUAGCUACCAACACUGCUCACUGUAUCUUCUAGAAGAGUCAACCAGUAUCCUGGAAUCUCUCAGAAGGAAUUAUGAGAAGGCUGAUAUAAGAUGACCCUCAUUUCACCAACAAAGAAGUGGCUCAACUUAUUUCCUAGAAAGAGUUUUCAGGCUGUGGCACAGAGAGGGAGACCCAGGCAGAGUCCGCCAGUCUUCCUGAGCUGAGGAGAUAAAACUGGGGGUCCAAGGAAGCCAAGGCAACUGGAGUUCACAGAGCACAGUACCAGAGAGGACAGAAUUGCAGACAGAACUUCAGAGAUCUGGAGUGACAAGAUGUCACUGCACAUCCAUCAGAAUGGCUAAAAGAAUAAAUAGCGCAAAUACCAACUGCCGGCAAGGAGGCAGAGAAACUGGGUACACGCAUACAUUAAUGGUGAAAAUAUAAAUGUUAUGGCCACUCUGUAAAACAGUUUGUCAGAUUCCUUUUUUUACUGAUACAUAAUAGUUGUACAUAUUUGUGGGGUUUUGAUACAUUCAUACAAUGUUCGAUAAUCAAGUCAGAGUAAUUGGGAUAUCCAUUACCUCAAGCAUUUAUCAUGUCUUUGUGUUGAGAACAUUCCAAAUCUUCUAAUCAUUUUGAAAUAUACAAUAAAUUAUUGAUAACUAUGGUCAUCCUGCUGUGCUAUUGAACACUGUAACUUAUUCCUUCUGUCUAACUGUGUAUGCUUACCAUACAACCCAGCAAUUGCACUCCUUGGCAUUUAACCCAGAGAAAUGAAAACAUAUGUUCACAUAAAAACCUGUACAGAAAUAAAAUAGCAGUUUUCUUCAUAAUAUUCAAAACCUGGAAACCAUCCAAAUGUUCUUCAAUGGGUGAUGCAUUAAGCAAACCAUGGUACAUGUACCAUGGAAUAUGACUCAGCAGUAAAAAGGAAUGAACUAUUGAUACACACAAUAAAUUAGAUACAUCUCAAGGGCAUUAUGCUAAAUGAAAAAAAUGUAUCAUCAAGCAGCCAUGUACUGUAUGAUUCCAUUUACAUAACAUGGAGAACAGAUUCAUAGUUGCAGGGUCAAGGAUCAUGGGGAUAGGGAUAUACGCGUGACUACAAAGAGGUAUCACCAGGGAGAUCCUUGUGGUGAUGGAAUAGUUCUGUAUCUUGAUUGCAGUGGUGGUUACAGGAAUAAACACACAAUAAAAUGACUUGUAACUACACACACACACACACACACACACACACACACCACACUAAUGUUUAUUUCCUGGUUUUGAUAUUGUACUCUUUAAGUGAGAUAUAACCACUGGGGAAAACUGUUGACAGGUACAUGGGGACUCUCUGUACCAUCUUUGCAACUUUCUGUGA